GUCUUGGUGGCGCAGUUGGCUAGCGCGUUGGUCUCAUAUUAUUCCGUAAUAUGAUCCAACCAUAGGUUGGGAUAUCCAGAGGUCGUGAGUUCGAGCCUCACCCAGGACA